CGGCGGGCGGGACCCGGCGCGGAGCGCUGCACAGACACACGCAUCUCGGCGCGGUGCGGCUCGGCUCGGCUCGGCUCGGCGCGGCUCAGACACGCGGGGAGAGAAACGUGGAUGUUCGGUUAGCAUGGGUGCAGCUGUCCUGGGCAUGUGUUGACAAGAGGGGACAGUCAUUCUGCUGCAGCUAGGCGAGGAAAGCAUUAAGCUGUAUACCUAGGGCUCUGUUCCUCCUCUUUCUUCUCCACCAGACCCUGCUCCUGCAGUUGCUCCACAAGUCCCCUCAGCCUGCAGCUCUUCGGUCACCAGCCACCCUGCUGCUUACAGCUGCUCAGGUUGCAGCAACACAUACACUGGUAAGGUAAGGAUCCCCAUCUUUUUCACAGCCAUUUUCAAGGUUAAGAGGCAAGUCCUCAGCUGGUGCAGAUUAGCGUAGUUGCAGACGGGCUUUGUGCCAUUUAAACUGUUAAAGCCUAAGACAAGACAAAUGUAUUCUUCUCAGAAGCAAGGUCUGUGGAGAGUUGCAUUCAAGAUGCAGCCUGUCUCACCAGCUACCAGCUGUUCUACUUGACUACUUUUGGGGGAGAAGGAAGAUAAAGGCAGGUGUUGCAGACCUUCAUCAGAGAAAGGGGUAGGCACUGGGUGCACGGAGGGGGUUGGAGAAGUCUUCAUCUUUACAGGCUACUCCAUUUUACUUUGUCCAUCUUAUCCACAGUCACAAAGUCAGUAGCUCAACAACAGUAGAGUCCGCACCUAUUCUGAACAAAGAAGCAUGUAUGUUUCCAGGUUACCUCUCGCCUAGGGCUUGACUAUACUACAAACCUCCUCUCCGCAGCAGAAACAAACUGGACCAUCUCCCCACACUAAUUGUUCCAAAAAGGUCUCCCCAUAGAACCACCUCCAACCUAGCUCUGGCUUUGCCUCUUUUACUUGGACA